ACUGUGGACGGGGUCCCUGGGCUUUCCCCUAGGGUCCCAUCAGCUGCUUAUGUUCUACCUUCUGACGGAUCACAGGAGGAGCCUGCAGCGGAGGAGCCUCCUCCUCCUCAGCAUCAGACCUAAAGGGAGUGUCCUGCCUGAAGGACCGGCUCAAGGUCGCACUAACAGCUCUUGCUAACUCCUGUUCCAGGCUGUUUAUCUGGGCCUCCAAGUACCCUGCUUGCGCCUGGAGGUCUCUCACCCCCAGGUCCUGCUCAAAGCUGUGCACUUGGGCCCCCAGGCAUGCGGCUUGCUCCGGAAGGUCCCUUACCUGUGGCACUGAGCAUGUACUUCCUGCAGUGCAGUUAGAAAUGCCCAUCCGACUCUGCUUGCAAAGUUCCUUUAUUUAUAGGCACAGCUGCUUAAAGACUGUUACCGGAAAGGAAUCCUGAUCCAGACGCCAAGAGAGGGUUCUUGGACUCAUGCAAGAAAGACUUCAGGACAGAGAUCAUGGAAGUUGGGCCCGACUGGAUGAGAUUUGGGGGUCUUUGGAAGUGGAGAAUGUGUUUGCCCUGGGGAAGAGAGGUGAUGUCUAGGAGACCUCUUCACUCAGGGCAAGCUCUAUGACCUGCUUUGACUCCAGAAUGUGGUAGAAGUGGCAUCACAUAAAUUGCAGAGCCUAGGCUUCAAGAGACCUUGCAACUUGCCUCUCACUGACUUGAAGUGCUCCCAUCAGAGCAUCUUGUAAGGAGCAGGUGGAGCAUGUGGACAAGCCAUCCCCACCAGCCCCUGAGACAUGUGAGAGAGGCCAGAACAGGCCAUCCGGACCCCACUGUGCUGGUGGAUGAGACAGCAGAAGGAAUAUCAACCUACCAACAGAAUCCUGAGAAAUGCUCACUCUUACUUCAAGCUGCUGCAUUUUGAUGUUAUGAAACCAUAAAUAACUUAUGAAGUCAUCUUUGCUGACUUAAAGUUUUCCAUAACUUUAUUAUAACAUAUCAAAAUUAUGAAAAAUGUGAAAAGUAGAAAACUGAUGAAUUUUGCUUCUUCAUAUGGUCUUUAAGAAUCUCAAAGGCACUGAAGUUUUUUAUCUUUUCUGUCUUAGAAUAAAAAACCUUGAAUGAAAA
rnacentral:lncRNA from 1 species